rnacentral:rRNA from 1 species
GAACGCUGGCGGCAGGCCUAACACAUGCAAGUCGAACGGUAACAUGACUAGCUUGCUAGUUGAUGACGAGUGGCGGACGGGUGAGUAACGCGUAGGAAUCUACCCAGUAGCGGGGGAUAAGCCAGAGAAAUUUGGUCUAAUACCGCAUACGCCCUUCGGGGGAAAGCAGGGGAUCUUCGGACCUUGCACUAUUGGAUGAGCCUGCGUGAGAUUAGCUUGUUGGUGAGGUAAUGGCUCACCAAGGCGACGAUCUCUAGCUGGUCUGAGAGGAUGAUCAGCCACACUGGAACUGAGACACGGUCCAGACUCCUACGGGAGGCAGCAGUGGGGAAUAUUGCACAAUGGGCGCAAGCCUGAUGCAGCCAUGCCGCGUGUGUGAAGAAGGCCCUAGGGUUGUAAAGCACUUUCAGCAGUGAGGAAAGGUUAGUAGUUAAUACCUGCUAGCUGUGACGUUAACUGCAGAAGAAGCACCGGCUAACUCCGUGCCAGCAGCCGCGGUAAUACGGAGGGUGCGAGCGUUAAUCGGAAUUACUGGGCGUAAAGCGCGCGUANGUGGAUUGGUCAGUCAGAUGUGAAAGCCCA